ensembl:lncRNA
CCCAGGCAAUUCUUCCCAAUGGAAAAAAACAUCCAGGCACAUUCUAGCCUCUCCACAAUGCUGUCUUGGACUGAAAGGAGCUGCAGUGGCAGCAGGCACAGCUGGUGAAAACAUCUGGGAAGAGCGAGCCCUCAGGACCAGGAAUGAAAGCUUGGGCUUGUGUGUCAGGGCACAUGUGCACAUUUCAAAGAUCUCCAUGUUUCCGAGAACAUCAGCUGCAUGGUCUGUGAAAGGAUCAACUUUUCAGUGUACUGUACGCUGCUUGCACCUGCUAUGCUCUCCCUCACUGUAAUCCCCAUGCUCAGGCUGCAGAAGCUUUGGAGCCAUCGUGCUGGCCUGAGGCAGGAGGAAG